rnacentral:rRNA from 1 species
UACGGGGGGGGGCAAGCGUUGUUCGGAAUUACUGGGCGUAAAGGGCUCGUAGGCGGCCAACUAAGUCCGACGUGAAAUCCCCAGGCUUAACCUGGGAACUGCGUCGGAUACUGGAUGGCUUGAAUUCGGGAGAGGGAUGCAGAAUUCCAGGUGUAGCGGUGAAAUGCGUAGAUAUCUGGAGGAAUACCGGUGGCGAAGGCGGCAUCCUGGACCGACAUUGACGCUGAUGAGCGAAAGCUAGGGGGAGCAAACGGGG